rnacentral:rRNA from 1 species
CCUACGGGCGGCAGCAGUGGGGAAUAUUGGACAAUGGGGGGAACCCUGAUCCAGCCAUGCCGCGUGUGUGAAGAAGGCCCUCGGGUUGUAAAGCACUUUCAGUGAGGAAGAACGCCUGGUGGUUAAUACCCAUCAGGAAAGACAUCACUCACAGAAGAAGCACCGGCUAACUCCGUGCCAGCAGCCGCGGUAAUACGGAGGGUGCGAGCGUUAAUCGGAAUUACUGGGCGUAAAGCGCGCGUAGGUGGCUUGAUAAGCCGGUUGUGAAAGCCCCGGGCUCAACCUGGGAACGGCAUCCGGAACUGUCAAGCUAGAGUGCAGGAGAGGAAGGUAGAAUUCCCGGUGUAGCGGUGAAAUGCGUAGAGAUCGGGAGGAAUACCAGUGGCGAAGGCGGCCUACUGGACUGACACUGACACUGAGGUGCGAAAGCGUGGGUAGCAAACAGGAUUAGAUACCCCAGUAGUC